rnacentral:rRNA from 2 species
CACGGCCCAGACUCUUCCGGGGGGCACCAGUGGGGAUUUUUCCCCAAGGGGGGAAACCUGGAGGGACCAAGCCGGCGUGAGGGAGAAAGCUUUGUGGUUUUUAACCCUCUUUUGUUAGGGAAGAAGAAAUGACGGUACCUAUCGAAUCAGCCUCGGCUAACUCCGUGCCAGCAGCCGCGGUAAUACGGAGGAGGCAAGCGUUAUCCGGAAUUAUUGGGCGUAAAGCGUCCGUAGGUGGUUAUUCAAGUCAGUUGUCAAAGAGCGGAGCUUAACUCCGUAAAGGCAAUUGAAACUGACAGGCUAGAGUGCGAUAGGGGCAAGGGGAAUUCCCAGUGUAGCGGUGAAAUGCGUAGAUAUUGGGAAGAACACCGGUGGCGAAAGCGCUCUUGCUGGGUCUGCACUGACACUGAGG